CAGAAAGCACAAGAAACGUCAGCUGUCACUCUCCCAAAUGAGUACAUCAAGGGCAGAAAGAUCACAGGUUCUGCCCCCAGCUUCACGAAGCAAGGCCCCCGAUUCCGUGGCACCUUGGGUAGACACAGUGGGAACUUCUGAUCACAAGUAGUGUCUGGAGUUAGGACAAGUCAUUGAAGGAUUUUUCUGUAAUUCAGACCACAUAACCCAUGUGUACUGUUGACAUUUCAAAAAAAACAGACAGCUAGGUUGACCCAGUAAAUAAUGAUUUCUCAAAUAUCGAUUCUCUAUUACAGAACACUCACUGAAGUUCCCUUCAAGGGAAACGUGUAAAUUAAUAAAAGGAAGCAGAGUUUGUGUAACUGAGGAUGGACCACAAUGCAGGGUCUAUAUGGUCAUCCCCUCCCCCACAUGCCUGGUUAACUGGUCAGCAGGUAUCUCAUUCACUUGACUACUGGUCAAAGUAAAGUGGUCAAAACACACGAUGGAAUGUUUACUCAGCACUCACAGGCACCAAGGCCAGCGCUCCACCAGAAAGGCUCAAAUACAGAUGAAUGAACUAAUCCCAUGACAAGAAGCUGGGUUGUAUCAGGGGUGGUAAACAGACUAUUACAAUACUGCAGGAUCUGUGCCAGCCGUCUACACUACCGACACUCGGGAUAAAGGACCAGGCUCUCUGCUGGUUCUUGGGGUAGGAAAUGCUUCUCAGAGGUGUGCUGCAAGAGCUUGUCUGAUGUCCCCGAGGUGCAUGGGGGGAUGAAGAGAGCAGCAGAGGUAGAAACAAGGUAAACCUAAGGUCAGGCCACAGUACACAGACCAGAGGCGGAAAAACACACAAACAGUGCUGAGGUGCUUCAUUGUGACUGCAAGAUUUUUAAGGAGGGGUGUUUCUUCCUUUUGCAACCUACAUGGGUCUCAUGCCUCCUCGGGUUUUCCACACCACCGCCGCCACAAUCAUCAUCUUACCAUGCUCCCUGCUCUGUCUGCGGACGACCUUUCCUUGGAUUGCUGCCUUCCUAGCAUAGUGUAGCCAAUGUGCCUCCCUGUCCCCAAAGGUCCCCUCUGUUUUCUGGCCCCUUCCACAGUCUCCUCCUGUUAAAACUCAGUUCCAUCGCAUCUGUCUUCUCAGAGCGGGGCGGCUCCUCCGUCAGACCACCCCAAGGGUGCCCCUCUCCUUCCAGUCACACGACACGGCAGGACUGCGUGCACUUCUACCGUACUCAUUACGAAAUAAGCGCCGUCUGAGCUGGGGCCCUGCCAACAUCAUCCAGUCACUGUGUGCUCAGAACUUAGUAUGACGAGGCUGCAGAGACGGCUCAGCUGUCUUGUCACCAAGCCUGACGACCUGAACUCCAUCCCAGCAGCCCACAUGGUAGAGAACUGACUCCUGGAGGUUGCCUUCUGACCUCCACAGUAAGGUAUGAAUGCAAUGGUGAAGAAGGGCCUAGCAUGAGACCUAGAAAAUACUAGGCAAAGUCAUCCGUAUUACAGAUAAAUAGAAGGCGAAACACCACAGAGUAAACACGCAAGCCAAGCAUAAGAAUUCUACAAGACAUCCAGUGAAGGAUAGUAGAGUUGGCACUAGGACGGUGGGGUGGGAUAGAGGAGGCACUUAGGAGGCCAAGUAAUGCUUGGUAAGCAAAAGAAAGGGUCCCACGUUACUUACCAGUGCUUACAGCUUGCACAAGAUGGUGGCAAAUGCUAAUAAAAACGUGGAGUACAAGAAGAGCAGGUUUUGAACGGAAGGGAAGAAACUGAUCAACUAAUUGAGUUCCUGGGAGAUGCAUGGUUGCAAACGGCUGCUGGAAGCUUACAUCCAAAUCUAGAACCUGGCAGGCAGAAGUUAGCUUAAAGACUUGGGAAUUACUGUUUCUGGACAGAAGCUGAACUGUGGGAGCUUUUUCAUCAUCGACACAAGUGUGCACUGUCUGUAGAGUGGACAGAGAACGCCAAAACUCAAGUCCCUGCUAUGCGUGGGUGUCUUCUAAAGGCCCAUGUGCCAAAGGUCGGCCCUCAGCCCAUGGAACCUUUAGUUCGUGGAGUCUAGCAGGAGCUUUCCUGGUCACCUGGCCUGUGAGGCUCUACUGUCCCUCUGUCCCUCACUUCUCUGUCAUGAUGUGAACAGUCACUGCUCCGUCCGGGGCUCUCUGCUACUGUGUUUCACUCCAUCACAGACCCAGAGCAGUUGGGUCAACUCAGGAUGGCCCGACUUCCCACACUGUGACAUCAUGGGAAAGCCAGCGGUCUCCUAACCUAAAAAGAAACGUCAGUGACAGAAAGUGAACAUCCCCAAAGCCUGGAGGAAAAUGUCUGAAAAAACGGAGGAGUUACAAAGUCACGUUUCCAAAAGGUGAGAUAAGGAAGCCAUCACAGGUCACGGCCUGAGAGAUGUCAGUGAAGGAUUCAGAGAUGUCAAACUGCAGUGCACUGAAACCCUAAGUGUGACAAGAUGGUACCAGAUUCCCUUAGCUGACAGUCACGAUGAUGUUGUUUUUAGGAGUGGAAAGAUAAUAAGUUUGUGCCAAAGGGUAGUUCCCAGGGGAAAAGGAGGGAUCAAAUACAAAGAGGAAAACAGUGGGAAGAUGUGUUAGGAAGGGAACUGUAAGCAGAGUUCUCCUGCCUGCCUCCUCCUCAGCGGUGAUGGUAGCACAGGCUAAGUCUCCCUUAUCCACAUGCCCGAGAUCAACAGUAAUUUGGCUUUUUGUUUUUACAUUCUGGGGUGUCUGCAUAUAUGCCACGGGAUAUUUUGCAGAUGGGACUCAGCUCUAAGCACGGAAUUCCUUCAUGUUUCUUAUAUACCAUAUAUGGGGUAGACCCUAUGUUUGACUCUAAUUUGUCAUGAGUCAGGGAUGGACUUAUUGUCUUUCUUAAGUGAACUGAAGAAAUUUAUAUGCAAGGGAGUGAAGGAAGAAUGAAUGAACGGGGAUCCACUCAUCAGCCCACCCAAUCUCUGUGUAUCUGUAUCUCUCCACACACACCCAUCGCCUUCCACACACACACACACACACACACACACACACGAGGUAGGCUGGUCUGGUAUCUGACAUGUAGCUAAGGCUAACUCAGAACUAAAAUCAUUCCUCAGCCUCCCCAGUAGCCCUAGUAUUACAAGGCUGUACUACCACAGCAGUUGACAUUUGAUAAAACUUGUUUUACUUGAAAGCAGGGGUGUGGGGGUAUAUAUAAUGCAAUGCUGCCUGGCCAGGACAAGCACAAGAUCGCAGAUCAUGUCUGAGGCAAAAUUCUGUGAUAUCAACAUGUGCAUGAUUUUUUCUAGAACCCCUCAACAAUGUAAACUGAGAUGCAUAUAAAAGGCAGAAACAGCUGGGUUAUGUUGGUGCAGGUCUGCAACCCCAGGACUCAGGUAUAUCAGAAGGACUACAAACCGGAGGCCAGUCUGUGUUACACAGGAGAAGGGGUGGGGAAGAUCAAGGAAAAGGCAAGGCAAAGCAAGGAACAGCAGUCCCCCCUUAAGCACGGUUUUCAGGUAUCCGUGGUCAAUAGCAGCCUUGAAGACAUGGAGACUCUGAUAGGAGGUCAGUUUUAAACUGUGUUAUCGCGAGUAGUGUGACUGUGCCGUUUCACUGUCUAACCCAGGACAUCAACCACCUCUGUCCAGUGCGCUCACCAUGCAGGCACUACUGGCCUGUUCUGGCUGUUGUGGCUCCUGGAUGAACUCAGGGCGUUGCUUGUACCUGGUAACCUUGACAUUGUAGCCUGACACGUGCAUUAUCCGCCUCAUUUCAUCUCACCUCACUUCGUAAGGGUGAACACAACCUAAGAGGAUAAUGAGAGGCCGCCUCCACACAACUGGUAUUAGAGUGUAAUUGCUCUAUCUUAUUACUGUUGUUAAUCUCUCAUCACACUCUGUUUAUUAAACCAUCACAGAUAUUACAUACAGCAAACUCAUAGAACACACAGUGCAGUAAAGGAUGAGGCUGUAAGCAUCCCUGGGGUUCUAACACUGUCCCUGUGGAGAGGGUCCAGCGAGUGCCCUUUAGCUAAGUUUACAGGAAGAAAAAUGAAGCAACGAGAGCUAAGAUAUGGGAGGAAAGGAAGAGGCAAAGUGACUCCAGCAACGUGGACUAGCUAGAGCUGGCAGAAGAACGGGAAUGGGGGCGUGGGGCAGUAAACACUGUGUAGGCUGUGUCUGAACUCUGCUAUCCUAGAACUCAGGCCUACAAUUAAAACAAAACAAAACAAACCCGUCUAGAAUAUGGUCACUCAAGUGAGUUACUGAGCGGGGAGGCUAUGAAGACCAGCCGGACACAAGAGCUAACAGAGGGAGAGCAUUAAAUGUGGGGAGGCGGCUCAGGGGCGUUUUGCUGGUUGCCAAGAUUGACACUUGAGUUCAAUCUUUGGGACGCCUGUGCUAGAGAAACUGGCUCUUGCAAGUCACCUUCUGACACCUCCCCAACAUUCUCAUUCUCAUAUUCAUAUUCUCUCUCUCUCUCUCUCUCUCUCUCUCUCUCUCUCUCUCUCUCUCUCUCUCAAUACAAGGCUAAAAAAAGAUUUAAAAUAAAAUGAGAUUUGGUGGGGCCAGCGAGAUGGCUCAGAGGUUAAAGGCUGACAACUUUGAUCCCCUGAACACAUACAAUGAAAGGAGAGAAGAGAUUCUGCAUAGUUGUCCUCUGACCCCGACACACAUGUGGUGGGAAUUUGGGCAUGUCUACGUGCAUAAUAUCUACACUCUGUCUCUUCUGCUGUCUCCAUGGCCCCCAUUUUCAGUUUAUAAUAUGAGGUCAUCAAUACCACAGCUAGAGAAAACUUUGUUUUCCAUUAUACAUGGCAAAUAUAAGUCUUCAAAGAUAAACAUAGUACCAAAUUUUAAACACAACAAAAAUUAGAUUAUCCUUUUAUGCAAGGCUUCUAAAUAAAAUUAAGAUCUGGCUUCCAGCUGGCUUAGCAUGGGAUAUUAGGCAAAAGGAGAGGGAAAAAAAACAGGGGCUAUACCCACCAAAAAUGUCCAGUGGAAAUCAUCUUUGUUGCCACUUCCAGCUUCCUAAACUUCACAUCCCAUCCUGCAUUGCUUCAGCAAGUUAGCAGGAAGAUGUAGAGUAUAAACAUGCCACUGGUGCGUAUUACUUAAAUAGUAAAAAUGGCCAUUUUGGACAUUUAUACUACUAUCCACUUACAAGAAAAAAAGUUAAAUUAAUUUAGAUCUAUCUUACAUAGGUUACCACAAUCUAAUGAGAGAUCCAAGUCUACAUAUGCAAAGUCAUAAGAUUUCAGUGGGUUUUUUGAGUGUCUAUCAGUAGGGGCUUGGUGUCUGUUCAUAUUAUAAAGAGGAGAACUAUUCUGUACUGUUAGAGGUAGGCAUGAUUACUAUAUACACUGGAUUCCUAAAGGCAUGUGAAUUUCUGACUAUCAAAUUCUACUUCUCCAUUGUUUAUAUAAAACUGUUUUUUAAAAGAUGGGGAAAUGCCAUUAAAGCAAGCUAUGUUUACAAAUAAAACCUGGCCGGGUGGUGGUGUACACCUUUAAUCCCAGCACUCAGGAGGCAGAGGCAGGCAGAUCUCUUAAGCUGGAGGCCAGCCUGGUCUACAGAGUGAGCUCUAGGACAGCCAGGGCUACACAGAGAAACCCUAUCCAUAGUAAAUGAAUAAAUGAAUAAAUAAAACUUGUGGGACUGUAUAGAUGGCUUAGUGGUUAAUAGUAUUUGCUGUUUUUCCAGAGGAUCCAGGUUCUAUUUCCAGCAUCUACAAAGCUCACAACUAACUUGAAUUCCAGGGGAUCUGACACCCUCUUCUGGUCUCCAAGGGCACCAGGCAUACAUGUAGUACAUAGACAUGCAUGCAGGCAAAACAUCCAUAUAUGUAAAAAAUUUAAAACCAAAUACAAAGGUGUUCUCUCAUCUCUACACAUGUGCUGUGGUACAAAGACUUGUGUGUGCAUGCGUGCACAUAUGUACCAAUAAACCUAGAAAUAAAUUAAAUGAUCCUUUAAUACUGUCCCAUGGUAACUGUAGAUAUCAACAUCCACAAACCUAUCAGGUACAAACAGCCAAAUAGCCUAUGGGUCCCUGACCGCCCAUCUUCAAGGUCUAGCCUUUCAAGGAGUCUGUGAACCCCCUUUACUCUUCCAUAGUAUCCCUUCUAGGAAGCUUCCAAAGAAGCCUUACAUCCUUUUAUACUGUUCGAUUUUUCCUACUUUAAAUACAAAAUCACUAACAGUAUUUGCAUUCUGUAGAUAGACAAUGGCUGUAAAAAGAAAAAUUAUUAUUUACAAGAUUUGUAUAAUAAAAAGGUCCUACAAUCAAACAUUUCCCUUAGAUUAUUUCCUCCUCAAUCUUGAGAGAGAGAGAGAGAGAGAGAGAGAGAGAGAGAGAGAGAGAGAGAGAGAGAGAGAGAGAGAAAGGGAAAGAGAGAGAGACUUCUGUUUUUACUCUGCCAUCUGUUUUCCAACCUGGAUGAAUUUCCAAGGAAUGACAAUAGCUACCUUCUUAUAAGUCAAACACUGAGUGAGGCACCACAUAUAAUAGUUAAUUUAAGUCUUGGAAUAACCCAUUUCUAGAUAAGGACACUUAAGUUCUGAUAGUCCCUAACUUGAAUUAGCUGCAGAAUACAGAACUGUGGAGUAUUCCUGUGUGCCUGUCUGUUUGGCUAGUAACACACCAUGUCAGUUCUUCUUGGUUUCACCAUAAAUCCCCUAAUAUUUCCUCAAUAUUCUUCCACAAAAGGCUUAACAGUUCUGUAAAAUAGCAGCUUUUCAAUUAUUUCAGCAAACACACUGUACUUCUAUAAUUAGAUUGACUGAGAUUUAGCGGCAAUUAUUUUAAAAGUCAAACAGCAAAAAACCCAUCCAGCCAGCUUCUCCUGCGCAUAAAUAAUAUGCCUUCAAAACCUAAAUCUUUAGCAUAUGGUUAAGGAAAAUGAAUGACUUGCACAAACGCUCUGUUCUCUUUAUCAUUUUAACACUCACUCUUUUUUGGAGUGAUUUUAAAAGCUACGUAGUAUUAAAACAAUCCACUUACUGUUAAACCUUUAAUCCCAGCACUUGGGAGGCAGAGGCAGAAGCAGGUGGUUCUUGUGAGUUCGAGGCCAGCCUGGUCUACAUUGCAAAUUCCAGGACAGCCAGGGCUACACGGAAAGACGCUGUCUUCCCCCCCCUCCAAAAAAAAUUAACAUAAUAGUGACUUUCCCUAAAAAAUGUGGCAAAAGAAUACAUAAAAACAGAGCUUUCUAGGUGUUUCUAAGGUGUCCAAAUUUCUGGUUUAUACUUCACUUCACUUAAAGCAUUGCAAAUAUGUUCUACAGAUCACCACAACCCUAAAUUAUGCCUCUCAAGUUAGGAAUUGUUACCAUGAGGAGUUGGAGAUGGCCAGUCAUAACAAUCUGCUGUGCAUACUGUACAUAUUGCAUUUUAUUUUUAUUACUAUUAUUUUUAAGACAGGGUGGGACUUGGAAUUUCACUAUGUAGUCCACACUGGAUUUGAAUUCACAACUCUUCUGCCUCAGACUCAUGACAAGAAGCAUCUACCAACUACUUUGAUGUAUUACUUUUAAUAUCAUAGCAGGAAAAAAAUGUCAUAAAUUCAGAGAUCACAAACAUUUAGCAUCAUGUGUGUGGCUGAUACUGAGCCCAGAGCCAUACUUCUGACACACACAGAAAGCAAGCACCAGGGACUGGGGGUAACAGGUCAGGUCUAGAGCUCUUGCCCAACCUGCACCAGCCCUGGGUUCAAUAUCCAAUCAAUAACUAGAGCAAGCAUUUUACCACAGGGCCACACACCAAACCCUGCAUUUUAAAUACCACCCAAUCAUAUAAUACUGUCAGACUUCCACAAGCCAAAUUAUCUGAUUGACAACAGCUGUGUGGCCUGUGCAAGUGAUUUCUAUUUCGUUUGUUAGGGGGAGACAAAUUACAUCUCCGAUUGGGGUUGCCUAGUAGGCUUUUUGACAAGGUGGUUCUACUUUCUCUUCACUCUGUCACCCCCUCAGUAGUGGCUACAACUCCAUGUGACACUAUAAGUAGUGCCCAUAUGUAGAUUCAGAAAAGUCUAUUAGAAGAGAAGCAAGCAUAACAUAGAAAGUUAUCUAAUGAUCACACACACACACACACACACACACACACACACACACACACACACCCACCCACCCACCCCAAAUGGGCUCAAUGGAAAACAAAAACCCAAACCGUAUUCACCUUUCAUCACCAGCUGUCUCAUUCCAUUAGUUUCUCGCUUACACUCACAUCUUUUAAGCUCUAUUCUCGACAGUAGAAAAAAAAACUAGUAAAAAUGAAUAAUAAAAUAUCCUCACUAGGUUACAUGCCAAGGGGAGAGGAGACAAAAUGGUAAUCAUCAAUAUAUUUAAUGAGACUCAGAGGCUUACAGAUUAAAAAAAAAUUAGAAGUGGGGGGGAGGGAGUGGGCGGAUGUACUGAGGAGGGUGGAAAAAACCCGUAGGAUGUUACAGGUUCACCUUGCAAACUUCAUUACCCACAUUCAACAGCUGUUAAAUAAGUCAUCAAAAUACUGAGAUCUGUGGGAAGAGAAUUUACACACUCCUGACAGUCUCGUCGCCUCUGCUUCGAGAAACGAAAGCGCUCAACUCCUCAACACAGCUGUUGUGAGCCCCGGUCGGGAUCAGACCCGAUCCUCCGGGAACCGAGAGGCAAGGCAGAAAGUUGGAGAGAGAAUCUUUAAAAAGGAUUUUGAAGGCGAAACGUUAAAUGGAGCUGAAGCACCGGAGAAAAACAAGGACCAGGGCAUGAGGAAGCUGCAUUUCCCCAAGACCCGCAGAGGAAACAAAGCAGGUCUCAGUCUGUCCCUCUCCCUCUUUUUCCUUCUCUUCCUGUCCUCUCUCUCCUGAGAUAAGUGGCUUUGCUCCACCCCAUCCCCUGUGUCCCACAUCACCACGAGGCAGAUGUGAUGAGGCCAAGCAACCACGGACGGACUGGAACUUCUGAAACUGGAAUGGAGAAGUAAGACCUCAGCUGUUCCUGCUGCCAUGCCAUCAUGGACUCUCACCCUCUGAAAACAAGAUCACUCUGUGUCAUUUACUGAAGGCCUGGACACCAGAUAACCAAGAUGGCUGGAAUAGUAUCUGUCAUUAUUAAAGUACCCAGAGCAGUUUCUCCUGCUGAGUCAAGCCUGCCCUGUUUCGGCAGUGGAUUCCCAGAAGCCUUCCCUCUUCAAGGGGCUUCAGCGCCUGGCAGUGUCUGGAGGCGCUGAUGCUGGCGGGCAGACUGCUGAGUUCCCUCGGAUUUUCAUGGCAGUCGAGGAACUCUAACAUGUGUGCACACCCCGGCUUAGAAAUCUGCCGUCUCUGGGUGCAAAACCUAGUGAACCUCUGGCGCCAGUGAGAACCUACGUAGCUUCACAGGCCAUAAAUGCUGGGGCUGGCAGUGGCUGCUAGACAUAAGAAGGGAAGCUCUUAUGUGAAGGAAGGCCCCGUGCCAGCAAGAGGAAAGAGCAUCAAGGAUUGAAGACGUUAAGACAUUGUUACAUUCAACUAUCAAUAAGCAACCAUGGCCACAACAUUCCAGACCAAACCUAUGGAUGUGUAUUUGAAAAGAAACUAAGUCACUGACAAAAGACAGAGAAUGUAUGCAGUGACGUUACGUCAGAACAUCCCCAAAUGUAGGGAAAGGAAUGGACAUUCAAGUUCAGGAGGCAUUUAGAAUCCUCCAAAAAACAUGACCAGAAACUGGGCAGCGGUGGCGCACGCCUUUAAUCCCAGCACCCAGGAGGCAGAGCCAGGCAGAUCUCUGUGAGUUUGAGGCCAGCCUGGUCUACAGAUGAAGAUCCAGGACAGGCACCAAAACUACACAGAGAAACUCUGUCUCGAAAAACCAAAAAAAAAAAACAAAACCCAAAAACACCACCACCACCAAAACUCGACCAGAAAGCAGCCUUUCCAUGUCAUACUAUAGUGAAAAUGCCCAGAGUACUGAAGCUGCACAGGGCAUAUCAAGCUACAAAGGAAAAUCUAUCAGAAUAAGAGCAGAUAUGUCAGCAGAAACCUGAGGCCUGGAAAGCACAGACUGACGUAUUUCAAGCCCCAAGACUAAGUAACUGUCAACUAAGUUUAUUAUACACUCAGUGGAGUUAUCCUUUAAAGACUUCCCAUUGCAAGUGUAAACUAAAUUAAUCUGCAUCUCUUCAGAGAAGUCACACAACAGCUCUGAAUGCUCCACAUUAAAACAUCAGAGAGGGGCCUGGGAGGUGGGUCCGUGGGGAAAAGCCCUUGCCGCUAAGUCUGCUGACCAGAAUUUGAUCCCCAGGACCCACUUGGUGGAAGAAGAGAACCAACUCCUGAAAGUUGUCCUCUGACCUCCACAUGUGUACCAUACAUGCAGAUAUGUACACACACACAAAUGUAAAUAAACAUUAAAAAACUAGAGACAGCCAGGUGGCAGUGGUGCACGCCUUUAAUCCCAGCACUCAGGAGGCAGAGGCAGGCGAAUCUCUGUGAGUUCGAGGCCAGCCUGGUCUACAGAGCAAGAUCCAGGACAGGAUCCAAAGCUACACAGAGAAACCCUGUCUCGAAAAACCAAAAAAACAAAACAAAAUAAAACACAACAAAAAAACCAGAGACCUACAACAAAUAACCAAAGCACCUUUAUGUCUUAGAAUAAGAAAAGUCAAAAUAAAUAGAAAUAAUAACAGUUCAGGGAAGAAAGUAAUGAAUAUGAAUUAGAGACGGAAAGAAUAUAAAGGACUAACAAACGAGAUUUUUUUUUUUAAAAAAAUAAGAUUCUCAAACCCUUGGUGAAACUAACCAAAAGGAGGAAAGAGUUAAACACAAUGGAACAUAAAAAAGGAAAUACUGUAGGAGACUACUGACCUUCAGAUCACUGCACAUUAUUUUGAAAACUUAGUCUAAUAAAUUGGAACAUCAAAAAGAAAUGGAUCAAUUUCUGGCCACACAUGACAUACCAAGAUGGAAACAGGAGGACAGACACAGCAGAUGUGUAGUGGGAAAUAAGGCCGAAGCAGCACUGAAGGCCCUCAAGGAAGAAAAGCCAGGACCAGAAGAAUUCCUGCUGCAGAACACCGGCCCUUUAAAGAAAACUAGCACCAGGGACCCUUGUGGUAGUUUGCAUGUAACUGGCCCCUAUAAUCUCAUAGGGAGUGGCUCUAUCAGGAGGUGUGGCUUUGUUGGAGUGGGCAUGCCUUGUUGGAGGAAGUGUGUUACUGUGGGGGCGGGCUUUGAGGUUUCCUAUGCUCAGGAUACCACCCAGUGUCUCAGUCAACUUCCUGUGGCCUGCAAGAUGUAGACUCUCAGCUCCUUCUCCAGCACCAUGUCUGCCUGCACGUUGUUAUGCUCCCUGCCAUGAUGAUAACGUACUAAACCACUGUAAGCCAGCCACUCCAGUUAAAUGUUUUUUCUUUAUAAGAGUUGCUGUGGUCAUGGUGUCUCUUCCCAGCAACUGAAACCCCUAACUAAGACAAUCCUCUAACUGUUCCACAAGACAAAAGAGGAAGUAACCCUUUCAGACCCAGGACACUAAUCCAGGGUUACCUUGUUACUGAUGUUGCUGGGCAAUGAUCCAACAACAAAGGAAAAAAUGCAUUCAAUGUCCUUAAUGAACACUGAUCCUAAAACAAAACCCUAGCAAACUGUAUUCAAUAACACCUAAAAUAUACCAUAUUACCAUGAUCAAAUUGAUUUAAUUCUAGAGAGGGUUCAAAAUAUACAAGUAAUCAAAUACAACACAGUACACAAAUAGAAUCAAAGACAAUCAAAUGCCGUAUCAUCUGAAAAAGCUGACAAAACUCAGCAUCCCUUCAUAACAGCCCUGGAGAACGUAGGCUAGGAGCACUAACAUGCAAACUGGAGAAAAACAAAGCAUUUCCUCUAGAUCCAAGAACAAGACAAGGGUGUCCACUGUCUCCAUGCUAAUUCACUACAGCACUUGAAAUCUUAGCUGGAUCAAUAGCAAAGCGAAGGAAAUGCAGUGUGAUCUGAGUGUGAACUCCCAUAGGCUUGUCUUUGGAGUUCCUGCUCAACUAGUGCUGCCUUUUUUUCCCCUGUUUUUUUGAGACAGGGUUUCUCUGUAGCUUUGGAGUCUGUCCUGGAACUCACUUGUAGACCAGGCUGGCCUCGAACUCACAGAGAUCCGCCUGCCUCUGCCUCCCGAGUGCUGGGAUUAAAGGCAUGUGCUGCUUUCUUUGGGGCCCGUGUGGGAUGUCUCAGAGGUGGACUAGGCAGCAGAAGUCAGUUACUAGGAGAGGGCCUUUCCAAGCCAUACCUGGCUCCUGGCUCUUUCUGCUUCCCAGGUGGGAACAGUGUCUGCUGUGUGUUCUGACUGCCAUGAACUGAGUUGGCCCACUAGGUCUUCCCUGCCAUGAUGGCCUAACCCAUCUACACCUAUGAGUUUUAGUAAGUCUUUUAGCUCUUGGUGUUCCUGUCAGGUACUGCAGUCCCAGCAGCAUAAAGGAACUGUACAAAAGGAGAUGCAAAUACAAAGAAAGAGCCCAGCUCACCCCUCUCUGCAGAUAACAUGACCCAAUGCACCAGAGACCUGAAGGAGGAAGCUGGUCUAUAAACACUCUCAGCAAAGGACCAGGGGGUCAGCUCAAGAAAAAAUGAUUUUUACAUAUAAAUGAAUCCACUGAAAUGAUCAACAAUCUUUUUUUUUUUGGAGCUGAGGAUCGAACCCAGGGCCUUGCACUUGCUAGGCAAGUGUUCUACCACUGAGCUAAAUCCCCAACCCUCAGGAAAACAAUCUUAUUUACAGUAGCCUCAUCCCUGUUCUUGGUUAAAAACAAAACAAACAAACCCCAGAAACAGCUGUGGAGCCUGCAUGGGACUGGACUAGGCCCUCUGCAUAUGGAGACAGUUGUGUAGCAUGAUCUGCUUAAGGGGCUCCCUGGCAGUAGGAUCAGAAUCCAUCUCUGGUGCAUGAGCAGGCCUUUUGGACCCCACUACCUAUGAUAGGGCAUCUCAUACAGCCUUGAGGCAGGGGGAGGGGCUUGGAUCUGCCUCUACUAAAUGUACCUCCCUAUGGGAGGUCUUAUCUUCUUGUAGGAGGGAAGAGGAGGAUCUUUAGUAUAUAAAACAAAUAAAAAAUUUUGUUAAUUGAAAAUAAAUAAACAAACAGAAGAUGUGGAA